AACAGGAUUAGAUACCCUGGUAGUCCACGCUGUAAACGAUGUCGAUUUGGAGGUUGUGCCCUUGAGGCGUGGCUUCCGGAGCUAACGCGUUAAAUCGACCGCCUGGGGAGUACGGCCGCAAGGUUAAAACUCAAAUGAAUUGACGGGGGCCCGCACAAGCGGUGGAGCAUGUGGUUUAAUUCGAUGCAACGCGAAGAACCUUACCUACUCUUGACAUCCAGAGAACUUAGCAGAGAUGCUUUGGUGCCUUCGGGAACUCUGAGACAGGUGCUGCAUGGCUGUCGUCAGCUCGUGUUGUGAAAUGUUGGGUUAAGUCCCGCAACGAGCGCAACCCUUAUCCUUUGUUGCCAGCGGUUCGGCCGGGAACUCAAAGGAGACUGCCAGUGAUAAACUGGAGGAAGGUGGGGAUGACGUCAAGUCAUCAUGGCCCUUACGAGUAGGGCUACACACGUGCUACAAUGGCGUAUACAAAGAGAAGCGACCUCGCGAGAGCAAGCGGACCUCAUAAAGUACGUCGUAGUCCGGAUUGGAGUCUGCAACUCGACUCCAUGAAGUCGGAAUCGCUAGUAAUCGUAGAUCAGAAUGCUACGGUGAAUACGUUCCCGGGCCUUGUACACACCGCCCGUCACACCAUGGGAGUGGGUUGCAAAAGAAGUAGGUAGCUUAACCUUCGGGAGGGCGCUUACCACUUUGUGAUUCAUGACCGGGGUGAAGUCGUAACAAGGUAACC
rnacentral:rRNA from 1 species